rnacentral:misc_RNA from 1 species
AACGCACAUUGCGCCCACUGGUAUUCCGGUGGGCAUGCCUGUUCGAGCGUCAUUAUCCUCCCUCAAACCCCGGGUUUGGUGUUGGACCCACGUUGUGAGUGAACAACUGGUCCCAAAGACAAUGACGGCGUCCGUGGGACCCUCGGUGCAACGAGCUUUCCGGAGCACGCGUCGAGUUUCAAGGUUCUUCCGGGCCGGUCUCCUUCUAUUUUACUUCUAAGGUUGACCUCGGAUCAGGUAGGAAUACCCGCUGAACUUAA